rnacentral:rRNA from 1 species
UACGGAGGGUGCAAGCGUUGCUCGGAAUUAUUGGGCGUAAAGGGUAGGCAGGUGGUCUCAUUUGUCUGGGGUGAAAGCCUUGAGCUUAACUCAAGAAGUGCCCCAGAAACGGUGGGACUGGAGUCCUGGAGAGGGUUGUGGAAUUCCCGGUGUAGCGGUGAAAUGCGUAGAGAUCGGGAGGAACACCAGAGGCGAAAGCGGCGACCUGGACAGGUACUGACACUCAACUACGAAAGCGUGGGGAGCAAACAGG